GUAUGUGAGGGCCAUCUGGCUGUGAUAUCUGUCACCCCAUUGAUCACCUUUGAUCACAUUGAUUUGGCUGAUCUGGCUUGCUAGGUGGGUGUCCCCUUCCUCCCUCACUGCUCCAUGUGUGUCGUCCCUCCUGCAGCUGUGUGUUCGGUCAAAGAAGAAGGCCUUCCCCAAAUAGAGACGGACUAGUCUUUGGUCAAGGGUAUAUAAGUAGCUGCACUCUCCUGCUAGAACCUCCAAACAAGCUCUCAAGAUAACUUUAUGCUGUCUUUUUAGGUCUUUCUGCUUACUUGCUAAAUUUAUUGACUCAUU
ensembl:misc_RNA 7SK 7SK RNA